AUGGCACAAGGCACAAGACACAAGGCACGUGGCAUAUGGCAUGUGGCACAUGGCACAAGGCACAUGGCACAUGGCACACAGCACACGGCAUGUGGCACCAUGGCACAUGGUGCAUGGCACACGGCACAUGGCACAGGGCGCACAGCACAUGGCACAAGGCACGUUGGCACAUGGUGCAUGGCACACGGCACACGGCACAUGGCACAAGGCACGUUGGCACGUGGUGCAUGGCACAAGGCACAUGGCACACCGCACAUGGCACAUGGUGCACAGCACAUGGCACGCCAGCACGUCACACACAGCGCAGCCACCCCCCCCCCCACCACCACGUCCAAGGGAGUUUCUCGUCUCUCUCCGCGCCUGCCGAGCCGCGUCCUCCUCGAUAUCAAAGCAUUAGGCAAAUUAAAUUGUUUGCAAAGCACUGUCUGCGCGUCUGCUUUAUGCCUGCUUUGGGAAAACACGCCGCCGCCGCGCCUCUGCGGCUGUGCCAUUUUGUUGAGCUUUCCCCGUAAUGCCUGUUCAAAGGCGCUGCCGCGAUCAGCCCCAGCGCCGCCAGCAUCAAAGCGCCUCCGAUCCCGCUGCUGCGAGCACCUGGCAGGGAACACAACGGGGCCUCGUGCGGGUGGCGUGCUGGGAAGGCUGCUCUGCCUCCCACCUCCCUUCUCCUUCGCUCUGGAGGGCGUGCAGGUGGUGGGUGCUGGCCGUAGGGGGGACAGGAGCAGCAGGAGGGGGUGCUGGAUGUGUCGGGGUGGCCACCCGGCUGGCGGCCCCGCGCCCCGCUGCUCCCCAGGCCCCGGCCACAAGGCAGCAAACCAAAUAAACUCUCUCCACCAAAUUGCUUCUCAUAAAUCCUCCGCUCCCCGCCGCGCUCUGGAAGCGGCACUUCUUCCUCCCCGUGGACCGGCGAUGGCUGAGAACGGCCGCGUCCCGCGGAGCUGUGGCCAGGCAGGGACGUUUGUCACCGGCUGCUGGAGCCGCGGCGAGGGGAGAGCAGACGGGAAAUCAAUACGGGGACCGGGAGCCACGGGACCCGGGGACCUGCUGCACCAGGACCUCUUAUUGAAUUUGCCAUCUUCCUCAUUGUUCCUCCGCUGUCCCUUAUCCCCUUCUUGCUUUUACGGCGAGGAAUUGGAUUUGGUUUGA
rnacentral:lncRNA from 1 species